rnacentral:lncRNA from 1 species
AAAAAUCCUAAAAUAAACCUAAGCAUUGCAGCAAAACAAAAGGGGGAAAAGGAAAGGGAAAACCCUAAAUGCUUGCCCCUAUCUGACCCGCCGUUCAAUCACCACCAUUCUACCAUUACAAUCGGUGGAUGAUAGCAUGCGAUGGUGUCCCCUAUUCGAAACCCAGCCUUAAGGCUCAACAAUUUCGGCCUCAAAAUCCCCUCUCAACCUUCGAUGUCGACGAAGGAGAUGGAGAUUUCAAUGGUGCAUUCGCAAAGGUAAGCCUUCUUUUUUAUUUUUUUAUAUUUAAAUCACAUGCACACUCAAAAAAGAGAAACGCAUAAAAAAGAAACUGAGAAUCACCUUUUCAAUAGUUUUCAAUUUGAUUUUGUUGUAUUUAGUAUGCGUAAUGUAUUUCUGUGAAAAGAACCACCCAUUUACAUUGUUUUCAUUCGGUUUUAUAGCCGAAAAAUAAAAUAAAUAAAUAAAAGAAAAUACAAAUUCCUUGUUGUAAUUUGCUGUAAUCUGCUGUCAAUUGCUGCUUUCUCUUUUUGUUUGUUAAUUUGUUGCAAGUGUGGAGGCCAUGGUGCUGCUGACAAGGCCAGGCCGUUCGUGGGGUGACGUGGAACAACGGAGGUGCACGUGCGGCAUUGAUUUGCACUGGAAACCAAUUGCGGCACAAGCAGAAAAGAAACCCUAGGGUUUCUGUUUUUGAAAGAGUUUGGGUUAUUGGGCUUGUUACCGGGCUAUUACAAUUUGGGUUAAUGAGUUCUGAAAUUUGGGCUGUAAAUGGAUUGUUAAUAAGUUUGGACUUUUAUAUUUUUUUUUGGUUUAUUUUGUGUUAACGAGCCCGGGCGAAUUGGGCCUAUUACACCACGUAUGUAUGAUACCUAAGUGGUAGAUGAUAUUAUAUAUGUGAAUUUCAUUAGGUUGAUAUGACCUUAUGGAUUGACAUUGUGCAAAUACUCAUAUGCUUCAUAUAAUGUUGAUGAUUUGAGUACGAGCUUACUAAGCUUUUGAAAGCUUACUGUGUAUGUGUGUUUGAAUUGUUUUGUAGAUGUCGAAGCUACUGCAAGCUCGGGGAUCUUCUAGGAUCAUCAGCACACUAUCGAACUUUAUUUUGGAAUUUUUGAAAAUGUAUAAAAUGUAACACCCCUAACCCAUACCCGUCACCGGAGGGUUAAAGAGUAUUACCAUACAAGCACGAAAUUUCAGUUAACUUUAUUAGAAUAACUCCCGUUGGCACACUUACAAUAUACAAAAGAGUCAUCUUAAGAUAAUGGGUAUACUGAUUAAUUCUUAAGUUCAAUUCACAUCAAAACAUUGAAAACUUUAAUCGAAUAUCAACCACACAUUCACAUUAAUUAUGUGGAACACAUAUAGUAACUUAACAAGCCAUUUUCGCAUGGCUAUACAUAUAUACAUCAUCAAAAAGAUACUUAUUUAACAACAAAAAGUCAAGCCUAUACAUGCCAUUAUCAAAGUUUAACUACUAGAGUACCGAAUAUGCUUAGAUAGUGUGGACGACUUCGACUUUGAGAUCCCCGAGACUGUAGCUAACGAACGAGAUCUAUAAAACAGAGGAUUAAGGGCAACAAAGUAAGCAUUUCUAUGCUUAGUAAGUUUUAAGUAAUGAAAUCAUUUAAAAUUAAAGCAUAGCAUUCAUAAUGCUUAUCAUCUUUUCUUUGACCGAAUAUAACAUGACUAAAUAUACUACUAUUGUUCAUGCAAGUCAUUUUAAAUUAUUCCUUAAACACCAUUUCAUAUCAAGUAGAAACUUCUUUUUUUUUUAUUCAACCAACUUCAUUAUUUGGCCGAAUACAUCUAAUUCAAUUUCAAGGUUAAAUAAAUACAUAUACGCAUAUUCACAUAUUCAUGUUACUUCACACUUCAACCAAUAUACUCACAUGCUCAGAGCCAAUCUUAACUUAUUUUCACUUGAAUCAUGUAACACCCCUAUCCCGUAUCCGUCGCCAGAAUAGGUGAAGGGGCAUUACCAGACUUGAAACUCAUAUCAGAACAGUAAUUUUUUUUUUGAAAACAUUCCUUUAGAUAAAUACUAAAGACAGUCAGGGAUACAAAUUUAAACUUCUAUAAGUACACAUUCAAAAGAUGCCAUUUUCGCAUGGCUUAUAUACAUUAACCAAAAUAUUCUUCGGCCACUGGUCUAUUCUAUACAUGCCAUAAAAUAAUUCAAAACAUAACAGUAACAAGCAGUGGAUAGUGAUAGUGUGACUAGUUGCUGACGAUCCCCGAGUCUGUAGCUUCCAAAUGAGAUCUAUAAAACAGAGGAAACAAAGUAAACGGAGUAAGCAUUACAAUGCUUAGUAAGUUUUAAGCAGUGUCAACAGAUAACAAUCAAAUUAUAACAUAGUUCGUAUUUUUAUUUCACUCUUCCUUCGGGCAUACCAUCCCUUUACCGAAUAUGCACAUCUCAUCAUAUACAAUAGGCAGAUAAACUUUCACAUAAAAGUGAGCUCAUGUGACAUAGAUAUAUUGUAUAAUUUCACAUAACCUCUCACACUGAUCCGAUGUCACAUAAUCAUAGGAAUAGUCUCAUAGAUUGCUCACGUAUGCAUCACAUAACUACCUUAUGAUUUAGUUCAAAUCAAGCUCACAUAUAAACUUGGAGUACAUACCUGUUUAACCUUUCGCAUUGAAUAUAUUUAUAAGCAAUUCUUAUUGCGAAGUCUUAUAGCUUUAAACUCUACUCGGAUUAUCGGCGAGACCUUUAGCUUAGAUGAAAUCUCCACACGAGUCAGCGGGUCUUAACCCAAACAUAGUCACCACAUAUGGUCAUCUAGUCUUUAAUCCCGGGUUUACAUCAUAGAGUUUCAUGCAUAUUUAUUCACAUGUUACAACAUUCACAUCGACUAUCAUAUUUGUAAUUCAUUUACCUCAUCAAAUAUCUAAUAAAACACACCUUCCGCCGUUUGUCAUUUGGCCACAAUAUAUAUAUACACAUCUCAUACAUAUCUCACAUUAGCCAUUUGGCUUUACCAAAUAUCCAUCUCAUACACGUUUCGCAUUAGGCAUUCGGCUUUACCUCAUAUCCAUCUAAUACACGUUUCGCAUUAGCCAUUCGGCUUUACCUCAUAUCCAUCUCAUACACAUUUCACAUUAGCCAUUCGGCUUUACCACAUAUAUACACUUCCACGUUCAUCACAUUGGCCAUUCUGCCUUAUCACAUAUAUGCAUGUUCACAUUCAUUACAUUGGCCAUUCGGCCUUAUCACAUAUAUGCAUGUUCACAUUCAUCACAUUGGCCAUUCGGCCUUAUCACACAUAUGCAUGUUCACAUUCAUCACAUUGGCCAUUCGGCCUUAUCACACAUAUGCAUGUUCACAUUCAUCACAUUGGCCAUUCGGCCGUAUGUCAUAUAUGCAUGUUCACAUUCAUCACAUUUGCCAUUCGGCCUUAUCUCAUAUAUACACAUUCACAUUCAUCACAUAAAAUCCUAAAUCAAAAUAUAAAUUUUCAUGUAUUCACAUCACAAUUAUCCAAAUAUACUUCACAUACCACAUAUACUUUCAUGUAUACACUUUGUCUUGGCUGAAUCUACAUCUAUCAUUUUCCGAUGAAUAAUUCAAUUUCAAGCCAUACUAUCAUUUCAUAUUCGAAUACUUAUAAACUUACAAUUUCACAAAUUUUAAUAUCAAAGAUCCAUCUAACACUCAUAUAUCAUUUUAUAAUAUCACAAUUUAGAAUUCACGUAUGGGUUUAAUCAAUAGCUUAUGAGCAACUAAAACAAGUUUUAUCCAUGUUUACAACAUAACCACAAAUUCUCUACAAGCUAUUUUCCUGAGCAACAGUCGUUAAAUUAUUUGUAACUGGGGCUACGAAAUUCCAAAUUUGUGCCGUUAAUUUUCCAUGAAAAUAGACUCGUAUAUCCUUUAUCCACAAAAUUUUCAGAAUUUUUGGUUUGGCCAAUCAAUACUAGAUUUUUCUUAAAGUUUCCCCUAUUUUACUGCUUGACUACUCUGACUACUCUUCACUAAGAAUUUAAUUUCUCAUUGUACAGAAUUCAAAAUAUGUUUUCGUUUAUUUUGUUUGAAACUAGACUCAUUAAGGAGUCUAAACAUAUAAUUUUGAUCUUAUAAUCAUUUUUGUACGAUUUAUAAUGAUUUUCCAAAUACUGAACAGGGGAUUUCGGAGCCGUUCUGACUCUGUCUCACACAACUUUGAAAAUCUCAUUAUCGGCAACCCCUUUACUUACACGAUUUCUUUUAUACGAAACUAGACGCAUCAAGCUUUAAUUACAUAAUUUAUUCAGCCUUUGAUUCAACUCCCACAAUUUAUGGUAAUUUUUCCAAAACACGCUACUGCUGCUGUCCCUAGUAGAUUUAUACAAUUUACUCUGUAAAGUUCUCAUUCACAUAUUUAAGACAUAAUAUCAUAUAUGCCGUCAUUUAGAAAAGUCAUUGACCUUAACGUAUAUACAUAAUUCAUAUUCAUCCCGUUUUAAAACUUAAAACUUACAAAGGAAUCAAACUCAAUUACUUAAGAACUUACUUUAUUUAUUUGAGCAACUGCGGUUAGGCUACUCGACGGCUUUCUCUUUCCCCUUAUCUGAUUUAGAUCCUCUUUGCUCAUGAGCUUAAUUAAAACAAAUGAAUUUGUUUCAUUACUUAUUCAACAUUACUUCUUUAAUAGUCACAGUUGAUAAUCGUAUAACUUCAGUGCAUAAUGUGUUUAUGAAAUAUACCAUGACUAACUUUUAUGUUUAUUUCACUAAUACCUAAUUCACAUGCACAAACAAGAAUUCACAUUACUUGCCAUUGUAAAUGGAACCUAGAUAGCCAAUUACCAUGGCUGAACAUACAGCCACUUAUAUAAAUAACACAAAGUGAUACAAAUUUAUUUUUACCAUUACAAAUCAUAAAAAAAAAUUACCAAUGCAUACGACAUCAACAAUAUAUGUACAUACCAAAUACCUAUAUUGCAUACUUAUCAAUAUGAACUUAAAGCCCUAUCCUAAUAUUCAUGUACAUAUUAUCCACCAUUUCCAAACCAAUUCAUCAAUGCAAUUAUACCAUUACAAAUCAACUUAAAAUAACCAUAUCUAAUAAUCAAAUACCUAUAGCAUUGCAUAUUUCUCACAUAGCAAGUACAACUAAAUUCAUUAUUAAUAUAUAUAUCUAAACACUUAACUACAAGAUUUAAUCACCAUUAUCAAAUCAAGCCAAAAUAACCAUCAUCUAUAUUUACUUCACAUAAACCGAAAUAACCAUUACAUCAUCUUUAAUACACUUGGAAUUUUACCCAUUUAAUCAAGCCAAAUCUCAAGACCAUUCCAUCACACAAAUUAUACCAUAAAUCAUACUUACAAUUUAAGUUAAUACAUGACCGAAAAUCACCAUCAUUAACAUCAUUAUCAAACCAAAACCAAAACACAUCUAUCAUCCGUAUACCAAGCUUACCAAAACAAACUACUAUGAGUUUCAAGCUUAUUGACCGAAUCUCAAACCUCAAAAUUCUAAGUUUAAUCCAUGUGAUAAGUAGAGUUUGAACUAAUCAUCUCAAACAUGCAUAGAUUUUCAAGAAUCAUUCAAUACAUACCUCAUUCUAGCCAUCUUCUAAGACAAAAAUUAAAGCAACCAAACUUUCUUCUCCCUCCCUUUAGGCUACGGAAAUGGAGGACAAGGAUAAACCAACUUUGGUUUCUCCUCCCACUAACUAUUAUCUAAUAUCUCUUUCUUUUUCUUUUAUUAAUUCAUUUGUAAUAUAAUAUCUUAAAUCACAAUACAUAUUAUAUAUAUAGCACCAUAUCAUGACCGGCCACCAUCUCAAAAGUUGGUAAUUUGACAUGCAAACCCACAUUUUUGAAUACAUGCUCUAUUAGAUCACUUUAUAUAUUUACCUAACUAUUUUACCAAUGUUUCACAUAAGUCCCGUUUUAAAAUUUCACAUACAAAUGGCAAAAUUAAUGCUUGAAAUUUUUAUACAUGCAUUUACUCACAUCAUGAACAUAGAAUAUAACUUUCAAUUAUUUAUAAAACUCGGUUUCGUGGUCCCGAAACCACUUUUCGACUAGGGUCUACUUAGGACUGUCACAAAUCAAAAUUCAUGUAUCCCGAAUAAAUUAUAGAUUUCGUACAACCAUAAGCAAUGACUGACAGAGCACUAUCCAAAUGAAGAAUCACAAUUUAAACCAAAUCAAAUUUUACAACGUAUAUACGGUACAUACCUGACCAUCUUAGGGUUGUGAGCCCAUUAAUUUGAAUUAUUACAGCAAGAUCACACAUUUCCAACAUAAUUGCCUUCGGGAUUUAGCCCGGAUAUAACACCAGCACGAAUGCCUUCGGGACAUAGCCCGGAUAUAACACCAGUGCGAAUGCCUUCGGAACUUAGCCCGGAUAUAACACCAGCACGAAUGCCUUCGGGACUUAGCCCGGAUAUAAAUCUCACACAAGGCCUACGGGUCUUAGCCCGUUGAAAAUCCUCAAUUAUCGUGUACACACACACAUAUAUAUAUCAUAGUACAUUAGCAUUUCAUUUACAUUACUAGAACACAAGCACAACAUGCUUAUCAACCAUUCCACUUUCGGCUCAAUAGCCAUAUACAAGAACACGACUUCGUUUCGCUAUCCAACAUGUUUUCUAUAACCAUUCGGCUACAAGUCAUAUGCACAAAUUAUUUACCUCACUACUUAACUCAAGUAGAACCAUUAGGUUACAAAUUAUAUAUUAUGCUUAUAUAUAAUGAUUUUAUCAUAUCAUAAACUAAUUUCCAUUACUCAAUGACUUACCUCGGAUGUUUUGAACAAUUGCGGAUAGGCUACUCGAUUGCUUUCUCCUUUCCCUUCUCUGAUUUAGUUCCUCUUUGCUCUUGAGCUUUAAAUUUAGACAAAUGAACUUGUUUAAUUACUUACUCAUCUUUAAUUCUUUAAUAGUCACAUUUGACAAAUCAUAUAAUUUCAAUGCAAUUUAUGUUUAAUAAAAUGUGCCAUGACUCGAUAUCAUGCUUAUUAUAUACACGAAUUUAUUUAUAUAAUAUAUAUAUAUGUAUAACCGAAUGUCUCUAUGUCACAAGGUACUUACAUAAGGCAUAUAUAUUUAUAUACUUAUGUGUGACUAACACAAUUUAAUCAAUUACUCAUUUUAUGCACAAUCACGUAUAUACACAUAUAUAUAAUCAUAACAUGCCUUAAUAUCUCAUAUUCCACAUUCGGCCCUAACCACUCAAACUUAGCUUUAUUAUAAAAUUUCCAUUCCAUGAUCAAAUGUAGCAAAUUGCACAUAGGUUUCACCCAUGCUAAACAAUGACUGAAUAUACAUUUCGAAGAAAUAACUUACUUAAUACAUAACUCACAUGACCAAACUACAUAUAACCCUAAUGACCUAAUGUAUAUCACCACAAUUCCUAUGACUUAACCAAUUACCCUUUUAGCCGAAUAUCCAUUAAACAUCUAGUUCACAUACGCAAACACAAUCUCUUAAGGCUUAUUAUAUUUUCAAGUACACAUCAAAUCUAUAUAGCCGAAUAUAUAUAUAUUUAGCUCAUCGAACCGAUACUUAAUCCUAUUUUCCCCUAACACAAAUAUAUUCGGCAAUGACCACAACCAUUUAACCAACCUUAAAAGCAAACCACAACAUUUUAAAUUCAUCUUAUUACCCCCAAUGACCGAAUGCACAUAUAUAUAUAAAAACUCAAAUAACACAAAAUUUUCUUUCCAAAGUGCAUAUGUAUAUAUAUACAUACGGCAACUUCAAUUCAUACCUCCCAACACUGAAUUCAACUUAUUCAUUUAAGUUACAUUAACAUGUAAAUAACAUCUUCCAAAAACUCCUCAAAUUAACACAAAUUUAUCAACUUGCCGAAUGGUUAUAUGUUCAAGGAUUCAUGCAUUUAAACCAUGGGUUAACUAAACUAUGCACUUAUCAAUUUGAUCUCAUAAUCAAUUAAAAUAAAAAUCACAAUGCAUACCUUUAAUUUGGGAUAGCCAUGGCCGAAUGCCUUGGUUUCUUCUUCAAAUUUUUUUUCAUUUUUCUUUCUCAAUUUCGAAAAUGAAGAAAGAAAGAUGAGCAUCCCUUAAUUUUUAUUAUCUUUACCUUAUUUUACUAAUUAUUUAUUAUUUCAACAUAAUGCCAUUUCUUAUUAUAAUACUUAAAUAAACAUAUAUUAUCCAUCAACCAUCAUUAUGGCUGGCCACCAUAAUAAAAAAAUAGAUAUUUAACAUGCAAGUCCAAACUUUUUAUGACAGGCAUUAAUAGACCACUUUUAAUUUUACCUAUCACCUUUCACAAUUAUUUCACAUAAGUCCUAUUUAAUAAUUUCACAUACAAAUGACAAAAUUAAAGCAUGAAACUUUCACACAUGCAUGUACACAUACAAUAAGCAUAGAAUAUAACAAUUAAUUAUUUUUAUGACUCGGUUUUGUGGUCCCGAAACCACUUUCCAACUAGGGUCAAAUUAGGGCUGUCACAACUCUCCCCCACAUAAGGAAAUUUUCGUCCCCGAAAAUCUUACCGGUGAAUAAGUUAGGAUAUCGAUCUUUCAUAGAGUCUUCCAGUUCCCAAGUAGCUUCUUCAACCCCAUGCUUAAGCCACAGUACCUUCACUAAUGAGAUUUUCUUAUUUCGUAGUUCUUUUACUUCACGAGCCAAAAUACGAACCGGUUCUUCUUCGUAACUCAAAUCAGAUUGAAUCUCGACCUCUGAUGGAUUAAUUAUGUGUGAUGGAACGGAUUUAUAACGUCGAAGCAUCGAAACAUGAAAAACAUUGUGAAUCCUUUCAAGCUCAGGGGGUAAAAUCAAUCUGUAUGCGACCGGCCCAACUCGUUCAGAUAUUUCAUACGGCCCGAUGAACCUCAGACUCAAUUUGCCCUUACGACCAAAUCUGAGCACCUUUUUCCAAGGUGAAACUUUAAGGAACACUUUCUCUCCGACCUGAUAUUCAAUGUCUUUUCGUUUUAAAUCCGCAUACGACUUCUGACGAUCUGAAGCCGCUUUCAGACUUUCACGGAUUACUUUUACUUUUUGCUCAGCAUCUUUAAUCAAAUCAACCCCGAAGAUUUUACUUUCACUAAGCUCGGUCCAAAACAACGGUGUACGGCAUUUACGACCGUACAAAGCCUCGCAAGGUGCCAUCUUAAUGCUUGAUUGGAAACUAUUGUUGUAAGCAAAUUCAAUCAAAGGAAAAUACCAUUCCCAUGAACCACUAAACUCAAGGGUCCAACAUCUCAACAUAUCCUCGAGUAUCUGAAUGAUCCGCUCAGAUUGACCAUCAGUCUGGGGAUAAAAAGCGGUGCUAAAAUGCAACUUGGUACCCAGUGCUUCUUGUAAUUUCUUCCAGAAUCGCGAUGUGAACCUCGGAUCUCUAUCCGACACAAUAGAAAUAGGUACCCCGUGUAACCUUACAAUCUGAGAAACAUACAAUUCAGCUAGCUUGUCAAGUGAAUAAUCCGUACGUUCGGGAAUAAAAUGAGCCGAUUUUGUCAGUCUAUCAAUAACAACCCAGAUCGCAUCCUUCUUGCUCGACGACAAUGGCAACCCAAAUGCAAAAUCCAUCGUGACUCGAUCCCAUUUCCAUUCGGGUAUCAUGAUCGGCUGAAGUAAUCCCGAAGGCACUUGAUGUUUCGCUUUUACUUGUUGGCAUAUCAAACAUUUCAAGACAAAGUCGAAAAUGUCUCGUUUCAUACCAUGCCACCAAUACUAACAUUUCAGAUCGUUGUACAUUUUCGUACUACCCGGGUGAACUGACAUUCGGCUACUAUGAGUCUCGCUCAAAAUCAUCGAAAUAAGUUUCGAAUUUCUUGGUACACACAAUCGACUUAUGAACCUUAAACAAUCAUUAUCGUCAAUUUGAAACUCUGAAUCCACAUUUGAAACACAUUCAGCUCGUUUAGCAACCAAUUCAUCAUUGACUUUCUGAGUUUCACAUAUUUGAUGAAUCAAUAACGGUUUUGCUUUUAAUUCUGCUACUGACACAUUAUCGGAUGAAACGGACAAGUGUACAUUCAUCGUUCGCAAAGCAAACAGUGACUUGCGACUUAAAGCAUCGGCAACAACGUUAGCCUCUCCCGGGUGAUAGUCAAUGACAAGCUCGUAAUAUUUCAACAAUUCAAGCCAACGUCUUUGUCUCAGAUUCAAAUCUCUUUGAGUCAUCAAAUAUUUGAGGCUUUUGUGAUCUGAAUAUACAUGACACCUCUCUCCAAACAAGUAGUGUCACCAUAUUUUCAAAGCAAAUACGAUGGCAGCUAAUUCGAAAUCAUGGGUCGGAUAGUUUUUCUCAUGUGGCUUCAAUUGCCUCGAAGCGUAAGCUACAACUCGACCUUCUUGCAUCAAUACACAACCCAGCCCAUUUAAGGACGCAAUCACUGUAAAUGACAAACUCUUUACCAGAUUUAGGCUGCACUAACACUGGAGCUUCAGUCAAAUAGGUUUUCAGUUGGUCAAAACUUUUCUGGCACUUUUCUGACCAUUCGAACUUAACAUCUUUCUGAAGUAGCUUCGCCAUUGGUGUGGCUAUCAUCGAGAAAUCCUUUACAAACCGUCUGUAGUAACCGGCAAGUCCCAAAAAGCUCCGAACUUCAGAACAUUUCUAGGAGGCUUCCAAUCAAGUAUGGCUGAUAUUUUACUCGGAUCAACACGAAUACCCAAUGCGGAUACCAUAUGCCCCCAAAAGCUAACUUCUCUCAACUAGAACUCACAUUUACUGAACUUAGCAUAUAACUGCUUGUCCUGUAAAAUCUGCAACACUAAUCUCAGGUGCUCGGCAUGUUCAGUUUCACAUCGCGAAUAGAUCAAAAUGUCUUCUAUAAACACAACUACAAACCGGUCCAAAUACUGUCUGAAAAUCUGAUUCAUCAAGUCCAUAAAUACCGUAAGGGGCAUUAGUGAGCCCAAACGCAUCACUAAGAACUCGUAGUGACCGUAUCUCAUUCUGAAAGCAGUUUUAGGCACAUCAGAGUCUCAAACUCGCAACUGAUAAUAACCCGAUCUCAAAUCUAUCUUUGAAAACACUGAUGCUCCCUUCAGCUGAUCAAACAAAUCAUCAAUACGUGGUAACAGAUGUUUGUUCUUUAUUGUCACUUUAUUUAAUUGUCGAUAGUCGAUGCACAUUUUCAUGGUUCUGUCUUUCUUUUUCACAAACAAUUCUGGUGCACCCCAAGGUGAGAAACUCGGUCGAGCGAAACCUCUAUCCGUCAACUCUUGCAACUGAGUUUUCAAUUCCUUCAAUUCCGUUAGUGCCAUACGGUAUGGAGCUAUCGAAAUUGGUGUAGUCCCAGGUACAAGUUCAAUACCAAAAUCUACCUCCCGAACAGGUGGUAACCCCGGUAAUUCCUCGGGAAAAAUAUCUAGAUACUCACAAACCACUGGUACUGAUUCAAGCUUCUUUUCUGAUUCUUUACUAUCAAGUACGUACGCAAGAUAUGCUUCACACCCCUUUUUUUACAUAUUUCUGAGCCAACAUCGAGGAUAUUACUGCUGGUAACCCGUUCAUAUCAGUAGACUCAACUCGGAUUAUCUCAUUAUUUGUACAUCUCAAAUCAAUAGUCUUUUUUUUGCAAUCACAACUGCAUCAUGCACGAUCAACCAAUCCAUACCGAGAAUAACAUCAAAUUCAUUAAAUGGUAAAAGCAUCAAAUCGGCCGAAAAAUAGGAACCUCGGAUUAUCAGGGGACAUUUCUUGCACACUUUGUCGACUAGCACAUAUCGACCCAAGGGAUUCGACACUCGAAUCACGAACUCAGUAGACUCAACAGGUAGAGUCUUACUGGAUGCUAAAGUCUCACAUACAUAUGAAUGAGUAGAACCAGUGUUAAUCAAUGCAAUCACAUCAGUAUCAAAGAGAGUGAAAGUACCGGUAAUAACAUCAGGCGAAGAAGCAUCCUCGUGUGCGCGUAAAGCAUAAGCUCUAGCAGGAGCACGAGCCUCGGAUCUGGUCGUAGCAUCUCUAGACCCUCUUUGAUCGCCACUAGCAUUCCCCGUAUUCCUAGGUGGUCUACCUCGAGCUGUAGCAGUACUCGGUUUCCCACUCUGAUUCACAUUUUGCUCUGACAAUCUCGGGCAGUCUUUGAUGAAGUGGUCGGAUGAUCCGCAUCUAUAACAGGAGCGAUCAUGAAAUCUACAACUCCCCGAAUGCCAUUUUCCACAAAACUUGCACUCGGUCCUAUCCCGACAAUCAUUUCCAACACUGGUAACUGAAGUGGCUCGCGUACUCAUAGGAGGUCGAUCACGGUCUCGUCUGGAAAAGCCCGAAGUGUUCUUAGGUCGGCCCGAAUCAUCUCAAAAUUUCUUCGAUAAUUGCUGAAAAGGCUUUCCCGAAUAUCUUUUACGAAACUCUCCAGCUCCAACAUCGGCUUUCCUUUUCUCUUUACUAAGGUCUUCGACUUUGCAAGCUCGCUCGACAAGUACUACGAACUCUCGUAUUUCAAGAAUGCGAACAAACAUUUUUAUAUCUUCGUUCAGCCCAUCUUCAAAAUGUUUACACAUAAUAGCCUCAGACGAUACACAUUCCCGAGCAUAUCUACUAAGUCUAACAAACUUCUGUUCAUAAUUAGUAACAGACAUGGAACCCUGUUUAAGCUCAAGAAAUUCUUUUCGUUUCUGAUCGAUGAACCGCUGACUGAUAUACUUUUUUCGGAACUCAGUCUGGAAGAAUUCCCACGUCACCCAUUCUUUGGGCACAACAGAAACCAAUGUAUUCCACCAAUAAUAGGCAGAAUCACGUAGCAGAGAUAUGGCACAUUUAAGGCAUUCAUCAGGUGUGCAAGAUAGUUCAUCGAAUACUCGAAUAGUAUUGUCCAACCAAAAUUCAGCUUGCUCGACAUCAUCACUGUCUGUAGCUUUAAAUUUAGUAGCCUCGUGCUUUCGAAUUCUGUCUACAGGGGGCUUAUUCAUCCUCAUGUGAUCAAUCACCGGAGGUAUCAUAGGUGCAGGAGGUGUAUUUGUUGGAAGUGGGGGUUGUGGAGCAGCCAUAUUUGUCCGAAUGUAUUGGUUGAACCAAUCAUUCACAUUAUAAAAGGCUUGUCUAGCCUCAUCAUUUUGAUUGCUUGCGUUAGGUUGAGAGUCUAUCGGCGCGGUCCCGUGUGCGGGAGCAGGCGCUACACUAUUAACAUCAUCAGCUACCGCUCGAUCGGGAUCCAUUACUAUACGAAAGCACGUUUUUAACUGUCAGAAAUCAUCACACUAUUGUAUUAACACUUAAUGGCAUGUAUAUCUAGACUCAUAUAUGCUACGUUAGUCCUAGAAUCAACUAAACCAUAGCUCUGAUACCAAUAAAAUGUAACACCCCUAACCCAUACCCGUCGCCGGAGGGUUAAAGAGUAUUACCAUACAAGCACGAAAUUUCAGUUAACUUUAUUAGAAUAACUCCCGUUGGCACACUUACAAUAUACAAAAGAGUCAUCUUAAGAUAAUGGGUAUAUUGAUUAAUUCUUAAGUUCAAUUCACAUCAAAACAUUGAAAACUUUAAUCGAAUAUCAACCACACAUUCACAUUAAUUAUGUGGAACACAUAUAGUAACUUAACAAGCCAUUUUCGCAUGGCUAUACAUAUAUACAUCAUCAAAAAGAUACUUAUUUAACAAUAAAAAGUCAAGCCUAUACAUGCCAUUAUUAAAGUUUAAUUACUAGAGUACCGAAUAUGCUUAGAUAGUGUGGACGACUUCGACUUUGAGAUCUCCAAGACCGUAGCUGACGAACGAGAUCUAUAAAACAGAGGAUUAAGGGCAACAAAGUAAGCAUUUCUAUGCUUAGUAAGUUUUAAGUAAUGAAAUCAUUUAAAAUUAAAGCAUAGCAUUCAUAAUGCUUAUCAUCUUUUCUUUGACCGAAUAUAACAUGACUAAAUAUACUACUAUUGUUCAUGCAAGUCAUUUUAAAUUAUUCCUUAAACACCAUUUCAUAUCAAGUAGAAACUUCUUCUUUUUUUUUUAUUCAACCAACUUCAUUAUUUGGCCGAAUACAUCUAAUUCAAUUUCAAGGCUAAAUAAAUACAUAUACGCAUAUUCACAUAUUCGUGUUACUUCACACUUCAACUAAUAUACUCACAUGCUCAGAGCCAAUCUUAACUUAUUUUCGCUUGAAUCAAAAUUCAUGUAUCCCGAAUAAAUUAUAGAUUUCAUACAACCAUAAGCAAUGACUGACAGAGCACUAUCUAAAUGAAUAAUCACAAUUUAAACCAAAUCAAAUUUUACAACGUAUAUACGGUACAUACCUGACCAUCUUAGGGUUGUGAGCCCAUUAAUUUGAAUUAUUACAGCAAGUUCACACAUUUCCAACAUAAUUGCCUUCGGGACUUAGCCUGGAUAUAACACCAGCACGAAUGCCUUCGGGAUUUAGCCCGGAUAUAACACCAGCACGAAUGCCUUCGGGACAUAGCCCGGAUAUAACACCAGCACAAAUGCCUUCGGAACUUAGCCCGGAUAUAACACCAGCACGAAUGCCUUCGGGACUUAGCCCGGAUAUAAAUCUCACACAAGGCCUGCGGGUCUUAGCCAGUUGAAAAUCUUCAAUUAUCGUGUACACACAUAUAUAUAUAUCAUAGUACAUUAGCAUUUCAUUUACAUUACUAGAACACAAGCACAACAUGCUUAUCAACCAUUCCACUUUCGGCUCAAUAGCCAUAUACAAGAACACGACUUCGUUUCGCUAUCCAACAUGUUUUCUAUAACCAUUCGGCUACAAGUCAUAUGCACAAAUUAUUUAUCUCACUACUUAAUUCAAGUAGAACCAUUAGGUUACAAAUUAUAUAUUAUGCUUAUAUAUAAUGAUUUUAUCAUAUCAUAAACUAAUUUCCAUUACUCAAUGACUUACCUCGGAUGUUUUGAACAAUUGCGGAUAGGCUACUCGAUUGCUUUCUCCUUUCCCUUCUCUGAUUUAGUUCCUCUUUGCUCUUGAGCUUUAAAUUUAGACAAAUGAACUUGUUUAAUUACUUACUCAUCUUUAAUUCUUUAAUAGUCACAUUUGACAAAUCAUAUAAUUUCAAUGCAAUUUAUGUUUAAUAAAAUAUGCCAUGACUCGAUAUCAUGCUUAUUAUAGACACGAAUUUAUUUAUAUAAUAUAUAUAUGUAUAACCGAAUGUCUCUAUGUCACAAGGUACUUACAUAAGGAAUAUAUAUUUAUAUACUUAUGUGUGACUAACACAAUUUAGUUAGUUACUCAUUUUAUGCACAAUCACGUAUAUACACAUAUAUAUAAUCAUAACAUGCCUUAAUAUCUCAUAUUCCACAUUCGGCCCUAACCACUCAAACUUAGCUUUAUUAUACAAUUUCCAUUCCAUGAUCAAAUGUAGCAAAUUGCACAUAGGUUUCACCCAUGCUAAACAAUGACUGAAUAUACAUUUCGAAGAAAUAACUUACUUAAUACAUAACUCACAUGACCAAACUACAUAUAACCCUAAUGACCUAAUGUAUAUCACCACAAUUCCUAUGACUUGACCAAUUACCCUUUUAGUCGAAUAUCCGUUAAACAUCUAGUUCACAUACACAAACACAAUCUCUUAAGGCUUAUUAUAUUUUCAAGUACACAUCAAAUCUAUAUAGCCGAAUAUAUAUAUUUAGCUCAUCGAACCGAUACUUAAUCCUAUUUUCCCCUAACACAAAUGUAUUCGGCAAUGACCACAACCAUUUAACCAACCUUAAAAACAAACCACAACAUUUUAAAUUCAUCUUAUUACCCCCAAUGACCGAAUGCACAUAUAUAUAUAAAAACUCAAAUAACACAAAAUUUUCUUUCCAAAGUGCAUAUGUAUAUAUAUACAUACGGAAACUUCAAUUCAUACCUCCCAACAGUGAAUUCAACUUAUUCAUUUAAGUUACUUUAACAUGUAAAUAACAUCUUCCAAAAACUCCUCAAAUUAACACAAAUUUAUCAACUUGCCGAAUGGUUAUAUGUUCAAGGAUUCAUGCAUUUAAACCAUGGGUUAACUAAACUAUGCACUUAUCAAUUUAAUCUCAUAAUCAAUUAAAAUAAAAAUCACAAUGCCUGCAUUUUACCAUACGGCCAUAGCACUCGAGUGUGUCUGUUGGCCGUAUGCUUAAAUCAGUAGCUAGCUAAAAACCACACGACCAUAGUAUACGGGCAUAUCUGUUAGCCGUGGGGAAAAGUCAGUAUGCAUGCUCUGUUUUGCCACGGCCUGGUUACACGGGCGUGUGACCUCAAUAGAAUGGAAAUAUUUUCUAAGUGAUGAAAUUUGUGAAUGUGUUCGGUUUAGUCCUGACCUUUUACUAAUGCAUGUUUAAGGUCUCGUUGACCAAGAAAAGGGAUUUUAUGUUGAUGUUUGACUAUGAUGUUGUGAUGUUUGUGAAAUGAAUGCGAAGUGUUUCGAUAUGUUCGGUAAUGCCGUUUAACCCUAGUCCAGUGAUGGGUACGAGUUAGGGGUGUUGCAUUUAGUUGGUAUCAGAGCUAUAGUUUAGUCGAUUCUAGGACUACCAUAGCAUAUGUGAGUCUAGCUAUACAUGCCAUAUAUCUGAAACUGCGGUAGUGUGAUGAAUCCUGAAAUUGAAAUGUUCUUUUGUAUAGCAAUGGAUCCCGAUAGAGCUGUAGCUGACGAUGUUGAAAGUAAUGCACCUGCUCUAGCGCAAGGGACAGUGCAAGCUGAUUCUCGACUGGCUACGAGUAGCCGUGAUAGUGAGGCUAAGCAAGCUUUCUAUUAGAUGAUGAAUGAUUAGUUCACUCAGUACAUUAGAACCAAUCCGGCUUUACAACAACCUCCACCCCCGGUUAAUUCUCCUCAAACUCCUGUUAUGCCACGAGUAAAUCAUGUACAGUUGAGUAGACCACCAGUUGACAAGAUUAGAAGAUAUGGAGCUAAAGAAUUCUGAGCUACAACAAGUGAUGAUGCAGAAAAAGCUGAGUUCUGGUUAGAAAAUACAAUAAGAGUGUUUGAUGAGUUAUCUUUAAGUCUAGAAGAAUGUAUGAAAUGUGUUGUUUCACUAUUGAGAGACACGGCGUAUCAUUGGUGGAAAACUUUAACAUUUGUGGUUCUGAGUGAACGAGUUACAUGGGAUUUCUUCCAAGCUGAAUUCCAAAAGAAAUAUAUCAGCCAAAGAUUCAUUGAUCAGAAACGCAAAGAGUUUCUCGAGCUUAAAUAAGGUCGUAUGUCUGUCAAAGAAUACGAAUGGGAAUUUGUAAGGUUGAGUUAAUAUGCCCGUGAAUGUGUAUCUUCGAAAGCAAUAAUGUGCAGGAGAUUUGAAGACGGUUUGAAUGAGGAUAUUCGUCUGCUAGUUGCUAUUCUAGAAAUUAAAGAAUUCGUGGUGCUUGUUGAACGAGCAUGUAAAGUGGAAGAUCUUUGGAAAGAGAAAAGAAAGGCUGGUUUUGAAGCUAGAGAGGUGCGAAAGAGAUCAUCGAGUAAAUUAUUUCAAUCUGGAUCCAAAAAUUUUAGAGAUGAUAGCAGUCGUUCAAAAGUUAGUGCGGGGCAUUUGAAUAGAGAUCAUGCUAGUUCGCAAUCGAAUUACAAAUCUUCAGCCACGUCUGUUGCUAAUGUUGAUAAUACAAAGAAUGAAAGGCCUAAAUAUGAUCAAAGUGGAAGACGACACUUUGGUGAAUGCUGGGGAAAGAGUAAUAAUCGAGCUUGUUAUAGUUGUGGUUCAAGAAACCAUUUUAUUAAAGACUGCCCAGAUUUAUCUAAAAAAGAUAAUGUUUAGAAUCCGAGAUAGAGUGGUAAUGUUUCUCAUGGUAGACCUCCCAGAAAUUUAGGAAAUGUAAGUGGUAGUCAAAGAAGAACGAAAGAUACAGCUGUUAGAUCUGAGGCUCGUACACCUCCUAGAGCUUAUGCUAUCCGAGCUCGUAAGGAAGUUUCAUCGCCAGAUGUAAUUACGGGUACAUUUACUCGUUAUAAUACUUCUGUGAUUACAUUGAUAGAUCCUGGAUGAAUACAUUCAUAUAUAUGCAUGAACUUAGUGAAUAGUAAGACUUUGUUUGUAGAGUCUACUGAUUUUGUGAUUAGAGUUUUGAAUCCCCUAGGCAGAUGUGUUCUAGUUAAUAAAGUCUGCAAGAAUUUUCUGUUAAUGUUUCGAGACAAUUGUUUUCUGGCUGAUCUGAUGCUAUUACCUUUUGAUGAGUUUGAUAUAAUUCUGGGUAUGGAUUGGUUAACCUUGCAUGAUGCUGUGGUGAAUUGUAAACGGAAAACUAUUAAUUUGAGAUGCAAGAAUGAUUAAAUAGUCAGAAUUAAAUCUAGUAAUUUGAAUGGAUUGUCUACUAUAAUAUCUUCGAUAAAAGCUUUGAGUAUUUUGAGAAAGGGUUGUGAAGCCUACUUUGCUUAUGUUAUUGAUUCGAAAGUGUCAGAAAAGAAAGUAGAAUCUGUACCUGUUGUCUGUGAGUUCCCUGAUGUGUUUCUUGAAGAACUUCCAAGAUUACCUCCAGUUAGAGAAGUAGAAUUUAGCAUAGAAUUGGUACCUGGUACUACUCCGAAUUCGAUAGCUCCGUAUAGAAUGGCUCCGACCGAGUUAAAAGAAUUAAAGUCUCAGUAUUUACAAGACCAAGUUUCUCACCUUGGGGUGUUCCGAUUCUAUUUGUGAAAAAGAAAUACGGUAUGAUGAGAAUGUGUAUAGAUUAUUGUUAGUUGAAUAAAGUGACUAUCAAGAAUAAGUAUCCCUUGCCCCGAAUUGAUGAUUUGUUUGAUCAGUUGAAAGGAGCUACUGUGUUUUUGAAAAUAGAUUUGAGAUCGGGUUAGUAUCAGCUACGAGUGAAAGAUUCAGAUAUUUCCAGAAGACUGCUUUCAGAACGAGGUACAGCCACUAUGAAUUUUUAGUUAUUCCUUUUGGAUUGACUAAUGCGCCUGCUAUCUUUAUGGAUUUGAUAAAUAGAAUUUUCAGAUCGUAUUUAGAUCAAUUUGUUGUAGUCUUCAUUAAUGACAUAUUGAUUUAUUCACGUGAUGAAUUUGAGCAUGCUGAACAUCUGAGAAUAAUGUUACAAACGUUGUGAGAUAAACAGUUGUAUGCGGAAUUCAGCAAGUGUGAGUUCUAGUUGCAAGAAGUUGGUUUUUUGGGGUCAUACUGUAUCAGUCUCUGGUAUUCGAGUGGAUCAGAGUAAAAUUUCAGCUAUUUUGGAUUGGAAACCUCCAAGAAAUGUUUCUGAAGUCCAUAGUUUUCUGGGGCUUGUUGGUUACUAUAGAAGAUUAGUAAAAGGUUUCUCGAUGAUUGCGACUCCGUUGACAAAAUUGCUCUAGAAAGAUGUGAAGUUUGAGUGGUCUGAAAAGUGUCAGAACAGCUUUGAUCAGUUGAAAGCUUUAUUGACUGAAGCUCUAAUUUUGGUUCAACCUGAAUCGGGUAAAGAAUUUGUGAUUUAUAUUGAUGCUUCUUUGAUUGGUUUGGGAUCUGUUCUAAUGCAAGAAGGAAAAGUUGUUGUUUAUGCUUCGAGACAGUUGAAGCCACAUGAAAAGAACUAUCUGACACAUGAUCUAGAGUUAGUUGCGAUUGUGUUUGCUCUAAAGAUUAGGCGCCAAUAUUUGUUUGGUGAAAAAUGUCACAUUUAUCCAGAUCAUAAGAGUUUGAAGUAUUUGAUGACGCAAAAAGAUUUAAAUCUACGACAAAGAAGGUGGUUAGAACUGUUAAAAGAUUACGAACUUGUGAUUGAUUAUCAUCCGGGAAAAGUAAAUGUUGUCGCUGAUGCCUUAAGUCGGAAAACAUUGUUUGCUUUGAGUACAAUGAAUGCUCAUUUGAUUCUGUCUAAUGAUGGUUCAGCUUUAGCUGAAUUAAAAGCAAGACCCUUGUUCUUACAACAGAUUAUUGAAGCUCAGAAGAUUGAUAAUGAGAUAUUGGCAAAAUGAACUCAGUGUGAUAAAGAGACUGAUUUAGAAUUCAGAGUUGAUAAAGAUAAUUGCUUAAUAUUCCAAGAUCGAAUUUGUAUUCCAAGAAAUUCAGAUUUGAUUCAGAUGAUUCUAAGUGAAGCUCACAGUAGUCGGUUAUCUGUGCAUCCAGACAGUACGAAUAUGUAUAAUGACUUGAAACAACAUUAUUGGUGGUCUGGAAUGAAAAUAGAUAUUUCUGAUUUUGUUUCCAAAUGUUUGAUUUGUCAGUAAGUCAAAGCUGAACAUUAGGUGUCAUCUGGAUUAUUACAACCGAUUAUGAUUCCGGAGUAGAAAUGGGAUCGAGUAACAUGGACUUUGUGUCGGGUUUACCUGUAUCUCCAAGAAAGAAAGAUGCAAUUUGGGUUAUAGUUGAUCGAUUGACGAAAUCGGCUCAUUUUAUUUCGGUUCAAUCUGAUUAUUCGCUUGAUAAAUUGGCUGAAUUAUACAUUUCUAAUAUAGUGAGACUGCAUGGUGUGCCAUUGUCUAUAGUGUCAGACAAAGAUCCAAGAUUUACAUCGAGAUUUUGGAAGAAAUUGCAAGAUGCUUUGGGUACUAAAUUGCAUUUUAGCAUUGCUUAUCAUCCGCAAACAGAUGGUCAAUCUGAACGGAUUAUUCAGAUACUUGAGGAUAUGUUGAGAUGUAGCAUUCUUGAGUUUGAAGGUACAUGGGAACAUUUUACCUUUGAUUAAAUUUGCUUAUAAUAACAGUUUUCAGUCGAGCAUCAAAAUGGCACCAUACGAAGCUUUAUAUGGUCACAAAUGUCAUACACCUUUGUAUUGGACAGAGCUCAGUGAAAAUAAGAUUCACGGGGUUGAUUUGAUAAAAGAAACCGAACAAAAAGUGAAAGUAAUCUAAGAUAGUUUGAAAGCAGCUUCUGAUCGUCAGAAAUCAUAUGCAGAUUUGAAAAGAAAAGACAUUGAGUUUGAGAUCGGCGACAAAGUGUUUCUGAAAGUGUCUUUGUGGAAGAAAGUGAUUCGGUUUGGUAAAAAAGGCAAGUUGAGUCCAAGGUUCAUUGGACCGUAUAAAAUCAUCGAGCGAGUUGGGCCAGUUGCUUAUAGAUUGAGGCUACCAUCUGAGUUAGAAAAGAUACAUAAUGUGUUUCACGUAUCGACGCUUCGACGGUACAGAUCUGAUACUUUGCAUGUAAUUCCUUCAUCUGAGAUUGAAAUUCGGUUUGAUAUAUCUUACAACGAAAAGCUGAUUCGAAUCUUAUCUCGAGAGGUUAAAAAGUUAAGUAAUAAGAAGAUUUCGUUAGUUAAAGUGAUGUGGCAUUGACACGGUAUUGAAGAGGCCACGUGAGAACCUGAAGAUGCUAUGAAACAACAAUAUCCAAAUCUGUUUAAAGGUAAGAUUUUCGAGGACGAAAAUCCCUAAGGGGGAAGAAUUGUAACAGUCCGGUUUGGACCCUAGUUGGAAUAGUAGUUUCGGGACCACAUAUUCGAGUCAGAAAAUAUUUUUUUUAUAUUAUUUUCAGUGCCUAUGAUAAGUGAAUUGACAUGUGUGAAAGUCUCGUGUGAAAAUUUAACUGUUUGUGUGCUUAAUUUGCAAAAAGGACCUAAUCGCAUAAAAGAUAAAAGCUGUGUGCUAGUUGUUAGAGUGCUUAUUUGAAUUGGGUUUCUAAAGAAAAGGUCCUUAUGUGAUUAUUUGACCAUUGGGAGUUUGAAUGGACAUAAAAGGGCAAGUGUUAGUGAAUUUUAUAAUGAUUUAAUAAAGGUUAUAAUGGUCAAAUGUUUAAUAAAUUAAUAUAUGUUAUAACAAAACAUGAAAAUAGGCAUUAUAUGCUUUGUUUGUGCCGAAAAUUGAAGAAAAAAAAAGAAAAGAUAAAGAGUUCUAGGGUUCGGCUAGUUGGAAGCUUGAAUUAAGGUUCGUUUUUGAUCCGUUUUUGAUAAUUUCUAUGUUUUUGUGAUCGUUAUUAAGUGCUCUAGCUAGCCCAUGCUUAAAUUCAUGAAAUAGUUGAUGAUUUGGAAAUGUGCCAUGGAUGAAUUCAUGAACUUGAUGAUGUUAUAUGUUGUAAUAUGAAAGCUUGAUGUUGGGUUUACAUGUGUUGUCUUUGAAUUUUUUAUGAAAUUGAGUAAUUUGGGCUACAUGGUAAAAAUAUUAUUUUUGAGGGACUAUAAUAUGAAAUAAAUGAAAUGUGUGGUCUAGUAUAAGUACUAGAAAAAUUCGGCUAAGCUUGUGUAUAUGCAAAUUAUGUGUAUUUUGUGAUUUUAUGAAUUAAGGACUAAAGUGUCGAAAUGUGCAAAUGUGAGGGCUAUUUUGCAAAAUACCCUAAUUGUGUGUAUAUGGAUUGUUUUGAAUGAUUUGGUGAAUAAAAGGGUUAAUUUUGAAUACAUUUAGAUCAAGAAAAGAGGAAUUCGGAUUUAGGCCGAGGGAAGUCGAAGAUUGUAGAAUAAACAUUCAAGUCGACAACUUCGAGUAUAGGGUAAGUUCGUACGUAGAACAUGGUAUUAUAAGUACAUAUUUCUAUUUUGAUUAUACAUAAAUGUUUAAAUAAUUGAGUUGAAUGUAUAUGAUGAUGAAUCGAAAGCUUUAGCACUAAGUGUGCAAUUUAAAUUAAUUUUGGCACUAAGUAUGCGAUUUAAACUAGCUUCGACUACUUGAGGCACUAAGUGUGCGAUACCGACUUAGUCUCGGUUAUUUGAGGUGGCACUAAGUGUGCGGAAAUAUUCUAGCUUUGGCUAACCUUAUAGCACUAUGUGUGCGGAUGUUAAAAUAUGAAUAAGCUAUGGAAAGUCUUAUAACAUUCAAUAAGAGGUAAGUAUGAAAGUGAAUAAGUACGGGAAGAUCCAGGUAUGUAUGAUACCUAAGUGGUAGAUGAUAUUAUAUAUGUGAAUUUCAUUG